GGGUUGUGAGGUUAAGCGACUAAGCGUACACGGUGGAUGCCCUGGCAGUCAGAGGCGAUGAAGGACGUGCUAAUCUGCGAUAAGCGUCGGUAAGGUGAUAUGAACCGUUAUAACCGGCGAUUUCCGAAUGGGGAAACCCAGUGUGAUUCGUCACACUAUCAUUAACUGAAUCCAUAGGUUAAUGAGGCGAACCGGGGGAACUGAAACAUCUAAGUACCCCGAGGAAAAGAAAUCAACCGAGAUUCCCCCAGUAGCGGCGAGCGAACGGGGAGCAGCCCAGAGCCUGAAUCAGUGUGUGUGUUAGUGGAAGCGUCUGGAAAGGCGUGCGAUACAGGGUGACAGCCCCGUACACAAAAAUGCACAUACUGUGAGCUCGAUGAGUAGGGCGGGACACGUGGUAUCCUGUCUGAAUAUGGGGGGACCAUCCUCCAAGGCUAAAUACUCCUGACUGACCGAUAGUGAACCAGUACCGUGAGGGAAAGGCGAAAAGAACCCCGGCGAGGGGAGUGAAAAAGAACCUGAAACCGUGUACGUACAAGCAGUGGGAGCACGCUUAGGCGUGUGACUGCGUACCUUUUGUAUAAUGGGUCAGCGACUUAUAUUCUGUAGCAAGGUUAACCGAAUAGGGGAGCCGAAGGGAAACCGAGUCUUAACUGGGCGUUAAGUUGCAGGGUAUAGACCCGAAACCCGGUGAUCUAGCCAUGGGCAGGUUGAAGGUUGGGUAACACUAACUGGAGGACCGAACCGACUAAUGUUGAAAAAUUAGCGGAUGACUUGUGGCUGGGGGUGAAAGGCCAAUCAAACCGGGAGAUAGCUGGUUCUCCCCGAAAGCUAUUUAGGUAGCGCCUCGUGAAUUCAUCUCCGGGGGUAGAGCACUGUUUCGGCAAGGGGGUCAUCCCGACUUACCAACCCGAUGCAAACUGCGAAUACCGGAGAAUGUUAUCACGGGAGACACACGGCGGGUGCUAACGUCCGUCGUGAAGAGGGAAACAACCCAGACCGCCAGCUAAGGUCCCAAAGUCAUGGUUAAGUGGGAAACGAUGUGGGAAGGCCCAGACAGCCAGGAUGUUGGCUUAGAAGCAGCCAUCAUUUAAAGAAAGCGUAAUAGCUCACUGGUCGAGUCGGCCUGCGCGGAAGAUGUAACGGGGCUAAACCAUGCACCGAAGCUGCGGCAGCGACGCUUAUGCGUUGUUGGGUAGGGGAGCGUUCUGUAAGCCUGCGAAGGUGUGCUGUGAGGUAUGCUGGAGGUAUCAGAAGUGCGAAUGCUGACAUAAGUAACGAUAAAGCGGGUGAAAAGCCCGCUCGCCGGAAGACCAAGGGUUCCUGUCCAACGUUAAUCGGGGCAGGGUGAGUCGACCCCUAAGGCGAGGCCGAAAGGCGUAGUCGAUGGGAAACAGGUUAAUAUUCCUGUACUUGGUGUUACUGCGAAGGGGGGACGGAGAAGGCUAUGUUGGCCGGGCGACGGUUGUCCCGGUUUAAGCGUGUAGGCUGGUUUUCCAGGCAAAUCCGGAAAAUCAAGGCUGAGGCGUGAUGACGAGGCACUACGGUGCUGAAGCAACAAAUGCCCUGCUUCCAGGAAAAGCCUCUAAGCAUCAGGUAACAUCAAAUCGUACCCCAAACCGACACAGGUGGUCAGGUAGAGAAUACCAAGGCGCUUGAGAGAACUCGGGUGAAGGAACUAGGCAAAAUGGUGCCGUAACUUCGGGAGAAGGCACGCUGAUAUGUAGGUGAAGUCCCUCGCGGAUGGAGCUGAAAUCAGUCGAAGAUACCAGCUGGCUGCAACUGUUUAUUAAAAACACAGCACUGUGCAAACACGAAAGUGGACGUAUACGGUGUGACGCCUGCCCGGUGCCGGAAGGUUAAUUGAUGGGGUUAGCGCAAGCGAAGCUCUUGAUCGAAGCCCCGGUAAACGGCGGCCGUAACUAUAACGGUCCUAAGGUAGCGAAAUUCCUUGUCGGGUAAGUUCCGACCUGCACGAAUGGCGUAAUGAUGGCCAGGCUGUCUCCACCCGAGACUCAGUGAAAUUGAACUCGCUGUGAAGAUGCAGUGUACCCGCGGCAAGACGGAAAGACCCCGUGAACCUUUACUAUAGCUUGACACUGAACAUUGAGCCUUGAUGUGUAGGAUAGGUGGGAGGCUUUGAAGUGUGGACGCCAGUCUGCAUGGAGCCGACCUUGAAAUACCACCCUUUAAUGUUUGAUGUUCUAACGUUGACCCGUAAUCCGGGUUGCGGACAGUGUCUGGUGGGUAGUUUGACUGGGGCGGUCUCCUCCUAAAGAGUAACGGAGGAGCACGAAGGUUGGCUAAUCCUGGUCGGACAUCAGGAGGUUAGUGCAAUGGCAUAAGCCAGCUUGACUGCGAGCGUGACGGCGCGAGCAGGUGCGAAAGCAGGUCAUAGUGAUCCGGUGGUUCUGAAUGGAAGGGCCAUCGCUCAACGGAUAAAAGGUACUCCGGGGAUAACAGGCUGAUACCGCCCAAGAGUUCAUAUCGACGGCGGUGUUUGGCACCUCGAUGUCGGCUCAUCACAUCCUGGGGCUGAAGUAGGUCCCAAGGGUAUGGCUGUUCGCCAUUUAAAGUGGUACGCGAGCUGGGUUUAGAACGUCGUGAGACAGUUCGGUCCCUAUCUGCCGUGGGCGCUGGAGAACUGAGGGGGGCUGCUCCUAGUACGAGAGGACCGGAGUGGACGCAUCACUGGUGUUCGGGUUGUCAUGCCAAUGGCACUGCCCGGUAGCUAAAUGCGGAAGAGAUAAGUGCUGAAAGCAUCUAAGCACGAAACUUGCCCCGAGAUGAGUUCUCCCUGACUCCUUGAGAGUCCUGAAGGAACGUUGAAGACGACGACGUUGAUAGGCCGGGUGUGUAAGCGCAGCGAUGCGUUGAGCUAACCGGUACUAAUGAACCGUGAGGCUUAACCUUACAACGCCGAAGGUGUUU
rnacentral:rRNA from 1 species